CGAGGGGAAACCGGAGACACGUCUGCACUGUUUAUAGACUGGUUUUUAAUCGGCACAUUGCAACAUCAACCACCAACAGUACGGGGGUGCCCUCUAGUGGCCAUCAGCUUUGUGAACAGUCCACCUGAACCGUGUACGACACUGGUCCUGACUGAGAAGAAACAGUACCAGUUUUCCACUUCUCCUCUCCCCGUCGAUAAUCUCUGACCAGCACUGAAUCACCCACCUUGAAGUCUCUGUGUUUGGCAUGGAGCGCAUGAGUAUACAUGAGGGGAAACCGGAGACACGUCUGCAUUGUUUAUAGACUGGUUUUUAAUCGGCACAUUGCAGCAUCAACAACCAACAGUACGGGGGUGCCCUCUAGUGGCCAUCAGAUUAUUGCAUCGAUCUCAAAGCACCGCUUAUCAAGAACAACCACCACCAACAACAAACAAUUUUGUGAGGGAUUCACGUCAAUCUCAAACCCUCACCGCUCAGGAACAACUAACAACAAACAAUUUGCG